GCGCCCGUAGCUCAGCUGGAUAGAGCGACGCCCUCCGGAGGCGUAGGUCAGGGGUUCGAAUCCUCUCGGGCGCGCCA
rnacentral:tRNA from 2 species